GCUACGUUAAAAAUGAGUAAAUCGAAAGUCUCGGCUACGAGAUUACAGUAUUACGAGAUUUUGGUAUGGGCUGUGUUAAAAUACGUAAACCAGAAAUCAACAACAGAACCGAGCUGAUGCAACGUCACUCUACCGCGUCGGCUGAUACUACUAAAAUCAAUCAAACGCAACGACGAGUGGAGGAGUUCAAGCAAUGAUUUCGUUACAACUUACUAAGAGGUCGAUGACACAUUUUCCCGAACACUUUGAUUAUUAUAUUUUUUUCUGUUUGAAAAGGAUAAUUUUCCUCAAAUUCCAUAGAAUCCUGAAACAACCUAUGUAAGGGAUCGUUUUCUUCAGGCAUCUGCAUCCAAUCGCAGAUAGACACUGGUUGGGCCAUAUUCUCCUUAUUCAAUUGAUGUGGGAUGCAAAAGCAGAGCCUGCUAAUGGGAAAAGGACGACAUAGGUUGAUGAAGAGGAACAUAAGAAAACAAAAACCAAUAAAAACAAGCAAAAUUUGUAUUUGAAAUGACCAAUAUAUGACUGAGUGGAUGAUACAUUAGAAUGUUAAGUUUAAUUCUCGAAAGAAACUAUUUUAAAUCUUAGAUUCACAUUGUAAAUGGAUGAAUGGUUUACAGCAGGAUUUCCUCUUUUAUUUCAUGUGAAACGAUCUUCUUUCAAUUUAUUACAAUGUGUCAUGUUUUAUAGACAGUCAUUUUGUUGUACGAUGUAUAUAGUAUUGCCCAGCAACAUAAAGCCAAUAAAGAAUCUCUUAAAGUAUGUUUACAAAUCUUCAUUAUCUUAAAUAUACAACAACUGUGUCUUGCUUC
rnacentral:lncRNA from 1 species